UGGGGAAUUUUGGACAAUGGGGGCAACCCUGAUCCAGCAAUGCCGCGUGUGUGAAGAAGGCCUUCGGGUUGUAAAGCACUUUUGUCCGGAAAGAAAUCCUUGGCUCUAAUACAGUCGGGGGAUGACGGUACCGGAAGAAUAAGCACCGGCUAUCUACGUGCCAGCAGCCGCGGUAAUACGAAGGGUGCAAGCGUUACUCGGAAUUACUGGGCGUAAAGCGUGCGUAGGUGGUUUGUUAAGUCUGAUGUGAAAGCCCUGGGCUCAACCUGGGAAUGGCAUUGGAAACUGGCGGACUCGAGUGCGGUAGAGGGGGUGUGGAAUUCCCGGUGUAGCAGUGAAAGUGCGUAGAGAUCGGGAGGAACACCAGUGGCGAAGGCGACACCCUGGACCAGCACUGACACUGAGGCACGAAAGCGUGGGGAGCAAACAGGAUUAGAUACCCUGGUAGUCCACGCCCUAAACGAUGCGAACUGGAUGUUGGGUGCAACUUGGCACUAGUAUCGAAGCUAACGCGUUAAGUUCGCCGCCUGGGGAGUACGGUCGCAAGACUGAAACUCAAAUGAAUUGACGGGGUCAUAGC
rnacentral:rRNA from 1 species